rnacentral:lncRNA from 1 species
UAUGCUGCCUGUGAGUUUGCUAGGGGACCUCAAUAAGCAGGAAAUGCUCACAUUAAUUUAGUGCAGAUUUCAUGACUAGGGCCUAGAGCAAACAGCAUUUGUGGGUAAUUAACAUUGUUGUCUCCUUUUCAGGGAGGAGUCAUGCGUGUAGAUGAGCAAAGUUCCAUUUUAGGACCACGAAUUGGCGCUUGCCAUGGUUGGGGAUACACUGUGAUGGAUCUGUGACUUGUUCCUCUGAAAGCUGGUCCAAGGUUGUUCGUGUGUGAAUCCGGGGAAUUUAUACAGGCUCUUGGCUGUAAGUAGUUCAGUUUCAUUUUUGAAAUUUAUUACUAACUGCUUAACUGUAGUUGAAGCCUGAGAAUCUUAUCUACAUUGAUAUAACUUAUGCUGUUAGCAUUUCACUAUAUGCAGCUCUUAAUCACUCCCAUGCCCCAUCCUGAGGCUUGAUUUGGUAUAUGUAGUGAUUUAUGUUGUUUUCACAAGAAUAAUAAAUAGGGCUGGCAGUUCAAAGAGAGGACAAUAAGGCUGUAAAUAAAGAAGGGGAGUAAUGCCAUUCAGCCUUAGUUUUACUGAUAUCAUUUUACUUUUCCUGCUAUAUUAUAACUGAUAUUAUCAACCUGUCUGUUUUGUGGAUACUUUUUGCCCUGAUCUUGCCCUGAUUUGCUCAUUUUCGAUUAACAAAUUUAGAAAUAUUAGCAUAACAUAGAAAAAGAACACCUGUCAUAGAGAUACAUUUCCUAUAAAGGUUCAUACUUAUAUGCACAUAAAAUUAUAUAUGAAUGCAGAACAUGUUAUACAAUGAAAAAUAAAAAUGGUCCUGCCUAUGGUAGAAUUACUGCUGUAGAAAGUAGAGGGGAAUUGCAGUGAUAUCUUUGGAAGCAUAGGAAAGACCAUUGAGCAACUCAAAACCAUGCCACAUAAAAAAUAGCUGAAAAAGUGUGAUUUUUCAACUUGAAGAAAAUAGACCCACUGAACUUGAUAUCUGCCUCCAAAUAUGUGAAGUCUGUCCUACAGAAUGAACAGGCUUGUUAGGUAGGGCCCCAGGGGCAGAUAAUGAGUGAUGU